ensembl:lncRNA
GGGGGAUUAACUCUGAUAGUCAUUGUAACCUAUGGCUCUAGGGCCUCAAUUUUUGAAAACAGCACUUUUUGCAAAAAAAGGUAAAAUUAAAAUAAAUCAACAAUAGGUUUAUAUUCUCAGAAUACAGCCAGUUUUGCCUUAUUAUCAAGAAAUAUUUGUAUAGCUCCAGCUCGUUCCUCAACGAAGUAUCCCUAUAUUGGCAUCAUUUAUGCUGACUAGCAAUAGAGCGUUUGUAAUACACUGUACUGCAGUUUUGUCAAUAAAAGUGGAAGACAAAUCAAAGCUUCGCACUAAAGAUUGGCAUGAACCUCAGUUCAUUGGUUUCUGCUGGUUCACAGGACCAGCAUUACAGGUGCAGCGUGUUCCCUUCCCCUACCCCAUCUCCAUCCGGAUCCUCCACUCACCAGCUGGCACGCACCACUCUUCUCUUCUUUGGGCAUUUGACCAGACCUGGCAGGAGCACAUGCUUCUCUUCUCCACCUCCUCUAGCAGCCCUCACUCAAAGGCAGCACUGCAGGAAUCUCUGCCCUGCCUCCUUGACUGAGUGGGCAGCUGCUAGAGGAGGUGGAGGAGGAAAGCAUGGCCUCCUUCUGGGACUGGCUGAAUGCUAGAAGAGGAGAAGAACAGUGUGGGCUGGCUGGUGAAUGGAGGAUCUGGCCAGGGGGGCGGGGAAGGGAACGCAUGGCACCUGUGGUGCUGGUCUGACAAACGGGCACAAAUCUCUGAAUUGAGGUUUGUACUCAUCUGUACUUCAUACAUAUCUUAGUUUCAGUGGUUAAAGAAAAGAAGCCAGAAAACUCUGGAUAGAAUCCAGAUUCAUCAUAGUUAGAGAAGCUCCAUUAUUUCAAUGGAAUGGAAGUUAUGUCAGUUCCAGGUAUAACUGGGUUCCAUUCCAAAACUGUCUGUAGAUUUCAUAUACAAUGAUAGCUUAAGGGUCAUCAGGCAUUAUCAACCUGCCCCCCCCCAAAAAAGGAGUCUUUCAGAAAGGAUAUUAAUUUUACCCCUAUCUCUCCAUAAAUUACAUAAUUACAAUUACAACCCACUUAAUUCCAUAUGCUCUACACCUGCAAAAUCCUUAGUAUUAGAUCCUGCCUAUACAGCUUGCUCAUGUGUGAUCGGUUCAGCUGAUUUAAGCAAAUAGAAAUGCCUUAAAGAAUUGCACACAUUCACUAUCCAUGACUUGGAGACUAUUCUGAAAUGUAAAGCAAGUACCAUAAACUUGUGAGUAAGGAACUCUCACUCUGCAAUACAUCAUCUAUUAUUGGUUGGGCAGACCAUUUCCAUUCACGAAAACAGGACAGCAGAAAGUUUCUGUGCACACCACUGGAUCACCGAUGUUACCUUCAUCGAGAAAUACGUGUUGCUGAGCCAGAUGUUACUCUCUGGUCAAAUCUCAGUGUGAGUGUAUUUUCUAUUAGUAUGCAGAAAACAGGGUGUUUCACUACCAAAGCAGUUUGUCUGCUGCAUACUGUAUGAGUGAGAAUACGGACGCAUCAGUACAUUGCUAAGAGUUUAUUCUGAAGCUUUUGCUUUAUGUCUUUAUCACAAAAGACAGUUUAAGUUGCAAGAAGUUAUUAGAAACUGAGAUGGUACCCCCCCUCCCCACCGGUUAAAUUUCUACUAUUAUAAAAGUAGACCACAGGAGACUGUUCUGAGCCAUCUUCAAAAAGCGGACCAAUCUUUUUUUGUAUAUAAACUGUACACAACAAAAAUCCAAAACAAAAAUCAAGGCACUAUACAUUUUUGGGAUAUCAAAGAUGGAUUCAGAGAGUUUCCCAAGAAACCCGUGUGAUAAUGCUUUGUUCAGUUUAGCACCUGAAGCAGCACUGAGACCAAUUCAUUGUCUAUUAAAAAAAAAAAGAACAAUUCAGAAUGAGAGAGAUAGGAAGAGAGACAGAGAGAGAGAGACUGACAGCUGCGCAUGUGCUCAUAGGUGGUUUAACGAGCAGCCACACUGCCUGGCCAAUUUCCUGAAAUGUUUUCUCCACAGAAGUCUCGGAAACAAAUAAUAAACAUUGCAUUGUUAAAUACA